UAACUUUAUGGCUUACAAUGACAAAAACUUAUUAUCUUACAGUUCUGCAGGUCAGAAGUCCAAAACUGGGCUAAAAUCCAGGUAUUGGCAGGGCUACAUUCCUUCCCGAGGCUCUCCGGUAGAACUAUCUUUCUCUUCUAUUCAGCUUCUAGAGGCCACCAGCGUUCCUUGGCUCAUGGCCCCAUUCAAUCUUCAAAGUCAACAGGGACUCUGCAUCACUCUGAGGCUCACUCUUUAUUCUCCCUCUUCCACAUUUUAGGACCCUUGUGAUUACAUUGGGCCCACCUGGAAAAUCCAGGCCACGCUCCCUGUAUUAAGGCCAGCUGAUUAGCAAGCUUCAUUCCAUUUGGAACAUUCCUUUCUCCCCUUGCCACAUAAUUUGACACACUCCCAGUUUCUGGGAAUUAGACAUGGACAUCUUUAAGAGGUCAUCAUGCUGCCUGCCAUACUUGGUACCUGGUUACAGGAAGUAAUAAGCAAUUAACUUUUUGAAGACAGAAUUAUGGCCAUAGUUUUAUAUACCGGAUCCAAAGACCCUGCAAAAGGAGAGUCCACAGGGAAAUAGGCCCCUCCAGUAACACAAGCUAGUCUGCAAACUAAUACCCUUUAACUUUGGGAAGUGCUUUCAACUGCAGGGGACUCAGAAGCAUGCCUCUGUGCCAACAGCAAAAAAUGUGCCCUUCUCUUUUGUUGGCAAGUAACUUAAUUAACCAACCCAAAAAACAGAUCUUUCUCUCAGCUUUCCAUAAUCUCUGAGAGGAAGUAGGUUUGGAGAAGUGGGAUUAUGGGGAAAAGGGCAGAUGUUAAUGAUGAAAAAACAUUGAACUUUUCUAGGGGUAGUAAUAAGAUUCAAUUCAAUAGAACAUUUUAGCUCCAAGUCUUCAAGAAUAAGACAAUCUUAUCCUCUGUUUUAUUGUGGGAAUAGAGAAUGUGAGAGGUUCCAUUCCAUGGGCCUUGGGAAUUCAAUACGGUUCAAGGAUAAAUAAACCCAGGUUUUUCACUGCAGAGAAGAGCUUCAAAUGUAAUCAGCUGUCAGGGCAUCAGCUCAGUUUCUGUAUCCCUAACAAUGCAGUUGACAUGCAUCUUCUCAGAUGCCUACUCCUAACCCACUGACGGAUAAUUUCAGCAUGCAUAAAGGAGUAGAAGCACCAAGCCACCAGUGAGAGGAAUGAGAGAGUUCGCAGAGAAGCUCGCCUGCAGUAAGACAAUGAGUUCAUCUUUAAAUACUUGGAGUCUGAGGUGCAGAUGGAUAAAGUUGGCAGGCUCCUAUGUAAGGCAUGUUAUGGAGAAGGUGCUAUGAAUUGUUAAUAUCAAAAUAAAUACCCAGGGGGCUUCUGCAUGUGUGCAUCUGUAUCUCAGAUCCAUUAGAGUUGAGUUCAGUCCUGCCUGAUUCAUCUCCCAGGCAUGCAGCCUCCUCUUAAAGAAGUUGGGACUGGUGGCCCAUUCAGUGAUGUCACCGACAGAUGCAUCUUGUGGGGAUAAAGUGUCACAACAUUCAUUUAUUUGCUCAUGCUCACAGAGGGCCUGGAAUGUUCCACAUCUGCUCUCACUCUGCCAUGGGCUCCUGGACUCUCUGCUGUGUGUCCUUUUGUAUCCUGGUAGCGAAGCACACAGAUGCUGGAGUUAUCCAGUCACCCCGGCAUGAGGUGACAGAGAUGGGAAAAGAAGUGACUCUGAGGUGCGAACCAAUUUCAGGCCAUACCUACCUCUUCUGGUACAGACAGACCAUGAUGCGGGGACUGGAGUUCCUGAUUUACUUUAACAACAAGUCUCCGAUAGAUGAUUCAGGGAUGCCCAAGGAUCGAUUCUCAGCUAAGAUGCCUAAUGCAUCAUUCUCCACUCUGAAGAUCCAGCCCUCAGAACCCAGGGACUCGGCUGUGUACUUCUGUGCCAGCAGUUUAGCCACAGCGCUGCAGAAUCACCCCUUUCCUGUGCAGAAACCCUGGUGUUUCCCCUUCUCCUUCUACCUCCCAGCAGUCCUGGGCAAAGUC